AACACCAAUCUAGAAUCCUCCACCAUCCAUCCAAUUCUAUAGAGCACGGCCCUUCUCUUCUCAUUGGCCAGUUUGGUUCCACUCAGGUUCGCCCCAUCCACGGAGGGGUGGUAAAGGCAGUGCUCCGGGGUACUGGAGCAGCGGGAGUCUCAGGUAUGAGUCUAUUCUCGGGACUAGGAAGGUUACAACUUGGGCGAUCUUUCUACGUGCAGAGCGAGGCAUUCCAAGCGAUCUAUAAGAUUCUUCAUUCCCAGGUGUUUGCAGUUACCUACCACAUUCAUCCAGCAUCUGUACCCUGUCCCUCCUGAUGUGACCACCUGGAAAUGCCUUUUUCCAAGCAGCCUGGGGGACACGAUGUACCUUUCAAAACCACUUUACCAUGGCUGCACAGCAUCAGGUGAACACCAAGGGCCAGCUGUGUCCAGCCAGCUUCCUGGCCUCAGGGGCUGCCCUGUUCUCACCAGCAUCCCAGAAUUUCCCUCCUGUCUACCACCAGUAACCGCACCCCCCCAAAGUCAACAGAGUGAUUUUAUGGCCUCUACAGUGCAUAUCCCCGAAUGUUAGUGAAACUGGAUGAGUGUUAUCUACCUGCGUGCAGAGAGAUGAAUUGAAGGAGAGCGCAAGUAGGCAGAGCGGCCAGCAGAGGGAGAGGGAGAAGCAGGCUCUCCCCUGAGCAAGGAGCCCAACAGAGGACUCAAUCCCAGGCCCCCGUGAUCAUGACCUGAGCCGAAAGCCGACGCUUAAGUGACUGAGCCACCCGGGCGCCCCUGCUUUCAUUUUUCAAGAUUGUUUUGGCUAUUUGUGGUCUUCUCUGAUUCCAUGUAAACUUUAGGAUUGUUUGUUGUAGCACUGUGAAAAUAUGAUGUGGGUAAUUUGAUCGCUUAAAUCUGUAGAUCGCUUUGGGUAGUGUGCGCAUUUUAACAAUAUUUGUUCUUUCAACCCAUAAACAUGAAUGUCUUUCCCUUUCUUUGUGUCUUCACAUUAUUUCAUCAGUGUUUUAUAGUUUGCAGGUUACAGGUCUUUCCCCUCUUUGGUUAGGUUUACUCCUUGGUAUCUUACGGCUUUUGGUGCAGUUUUAAAUGGGCUUGAUCUCUUCGUUCCCCUUUCUGGUGCUUCAUUACUCGUAUAUAGAAAUGUAACAGAUUUCUGUGUAUUGAUUUUAUAUCCUCCGACUUUACUGAAUUCGUGUAUCAGGUCUAGCAAUGUUUUGGUGGUGUCUUUUGGCUUUUCUUUAUAGAGUAUCAUGUCAUCUGUAAAUAGUAAAUGUUUUCCUUCUUCCUUGCCGAUUUGGAUGUCUCUUGUAUCUUUUUGUUGUCUGACCGCUGUGGCGAGGGCUUCUAGUACUGUGUUAAAUAACAGUGGUGAGCAUGGACAUCCUUGUUUUAUACCUGACUGUAGAGAGGAGAAGCUCUCAGUUUUCCCCACCGAGGACGAUAGGAGCUGUGGGUUUUUUGUAGAUGGCCUUUAUGCUCUUGAGGUAUGUUUCCUCUAAACCUACUUUGUUGGGCGCCUGGGUGGCUCAGUGGGUUAAGCCGCUGCCUUCGGCUCAGGUCAUGAUGUCAGGGUCCUGGGAUCGAGUCCCGCAUCAGGCUCUCUGCUCAGCGGGGAGCCUGCUUCCUCCUCUGCCUCUCUGCCUACUUGUGAUCUCUC